GGGGGUGUAACUCAGUGGUAGAGUGUCCGUUUCGCAUACGGGAAGUCCUGGGUUCAAAUCCCAGCUCCUCCA
rfam:Melipona quadrifasciata isolate 0111107301 unplaced genomic scaffold scaffold148, whole genome shotgun sequence.